rnacentral:rRNA from 1 species
UGCCAGCAGCCGCGGUAAUACGGAGGGUGCAAGCGUUGUUCGGAAUCACUGGGCGUAAAGCGCGUGUAGGCGGCUAUGCAAGUCAGAUGUGAAAGCCCUCGGCUCAACCGAGGAAGUGCAUUUGAAACUGCGUAGCUAGAGUACGAGAGAGGGGAGUGGAAUUCCUAGUGUAGAGGUGAAAUUCGUAGAUAUUAGGAGGAACACCAGAGGCGAAGGCGACUCCCUGGCUCGAUACUGACGCUGAGACGCGAAAGCGUGGGGAGCAAACAGGAUUAGAUA